GAUGAACGCUGGCGGCGUGCCUAAUACAUGCAAGUCGAGCGAACGGACGAGAAGCUUGCUUCUCUGAUGUUAGCGGCGGACGGGUGAGUAACACGUGUAUAACCUACCUAUAAGACUGGUAUAACUUCGGGAAACCGGAGCUAAUCCCGGAUAAUAUUUUGAACCGCAUGGUUCAAAAGUGAAAGUCGGUCUUUCUGUCACUUAUAGAUGGAUCCGCGCUGCAUUAGCUGGUUGUUAAGGUAACGGGUUACCAAGGCAACGAUGCAUAGCCGACCUGAGAGGGUGAUCGGCCACCCUGGAACGGAGACACGGUCAAGACUCCUACGAGAGGCAGCAGUAGGGAACCUUCCGCAAUGGGCGAAAGCAUGACGGAGCAACGCCGCGUGAGUGAUGAAGGUCUUCGGAUCGUAAAAAUCUGUUAUGAGGGAAGAACAGAUGUGUAAGUAACUGUGCACAGCUUGACGGUACCUAAUCAGAAAGCCACGGCUAACUACGUG
rnacentral:rRNA from 1 species